GCAAAACGCGAAGAACCUUACCAGGCCUUGACAUGCAGAGAACUUUCCAGAGAUGGAUUGGUGCCUUCGGGAACUCUGACACAGGUGCUGCAUGGCUGUCGUCAGCUCGUGUCGUGAGAUGUUGGGUUAAGUCCCGUAACGAGCGCAACCCUUGUCCUUAGUUACCAGCACGUUAUGGUGGGCACUCUAAGGAGACUGCCGGUGACAAACCGGAGGAAGGCGGGGAUGACGUCAAGUCAUCAUGGCCCUUACGGCCUGGGCUACACACGUGCUACAAUGGUCGGUACAGAGGGUUGCCAAGCCGCGAGGUGGAGCUAAUCUCACAAAACCGAUCGUAGUCCGGAUCGCAGUCUGCAACUCGACUGCGUGAAGUCGGAAUCGCUAGUAAUCGCGAAUCAGAAUGUCGCGGUGAAUACGUUCCCGGGUCUUGUACACACCG
rnacentral:rRNA from 1 species